rnacentral:rRNA from 1 species
GUGAAAUUGUUGAAAGGGAAACGAUUGAGGCCAGUCAUGCCUGCGAGAAAUCAACCAAUUGGUUUCGUCUCUUGGCGGAAUUAUUUGGUGCACUUUUUCGCGUGGCAGGUUAGCAUCAACUUUGAUUCUUGUAAAAUGGUGGUCGGAAUGUGACUCUUUCCAGAGUGUUAUAGCCGGCUACAGAUGCAAGGAUUGGGGUUGAGGUUUGCGACAAAUGCCUUUGGGGUACGUACCUUCCUUCUGAUAUGUGCACUUUGGAACGACAGCUUGCUGACGUUUCGGAGGACGUGCUAUCAAUAGGGUAGAGUUGCGAUAAAUUUGUCAAGGAUGCUGACGUAAUGGCUUUAAACGAC